UCCGGUGGCGAUGCGCUUAGGGGAGACACCCGUGGAACUUUGGUUCCGUCACAUCCCGAACACGACGGUUAAGACUUAAGCGGCCGAUGGUACUAUAUUGGAGACGAUAUGGGAGAGCAGGUGGCUGCCGGAU
rfam:Lachnospiraceae bacterium COE1 genomic scaffold acPFN-supercont1.2, whole genome shotgun sequence.